rnacentral:rRNA from 1 species
GACGAACGCUGGCGGCGUGCUUAACACAUGCAAGUCGAGCGGUAAGGCCCUUUCGGGGGUACACGAGCGGCGAACGGGUGAGUAACACGUGGGUGACCUGCCCUUAGCUCUGGGAUAAGCCUGGGAAACUGGGUCUAAUACCGGAUAUGACUCCAUGACGCAUGUUGUGGGGUGGAAAGCCUUGUGCGGCUAGGGAUGGGCCCGCGGCCUAUCAGCUUGUUGGUGGGGUGANGGCCUACCAAGGCGACGACGGGUAGCCGGCCUGAGAGGGCGACCGGCCACACUGGGACUGAGACACGGCCCAGACUCCUACGGGAGGCAGCAGUGGGGAAUCUUGCGCAAUGGGCGAAGGCCUGACGCAGCGACGCCGCGUGGGGAUGACGGCCU